rnacentral:sRNA from 1 species
GCCGGGUGUGGUGGUGCACAUCUGUGAUCCCAGUGGCUCAGGAGGCUGAGGCAGGAGGACCUCGAGUUCACAGCCAGCCUCAGCAACUUAUGAGACCCUGUCUCAC